rnacentral:rRNA from 1 species
CGGAGGAAAAGAAACUAACAAGGAUUCCCCUAGUAGCGGCGAGCGAACCGGGAGAAGCCCAGCUUGAAAAUCGCGCCGUUUUUCGCGGCGCGAGUUGUAGUCUGGAGAAGCGUCCUCUGUUGCGGACUCGGCCCAAGUCCCCUGGAAAGGGGCGUCAGAGAGGGUGAGAACCCCGUCGGGCUGAGACCCUGCAGCUCCACGAGGCGCUGUCGACGAGUCGGGCUGUUUGGGAAUGCAGCCCUAAGCGGGAGGUAAAUUCCUUCCAAGGCUAAAUACUGGCGAGAGACCGAUAGCGAACAAGUACCGCGAGGGAAAGAUGAAAAGGACUUUGAAAAGAGAGUUAAAAAGUGCUUGAAAUUGCUGGGAGGGAAGCGAAUGGAGGCCUUGUGUGCGCCCCGGUCGGAUGCGGAACGGCGCAAGCUGGUCCGCCGCUCGACGCGGGGUGCUGGUCAGCGUGGGCUGGUUCGGCGGGACAAAAGUCGGGCUUCAGUGCCCGGCCGAUGCCGUCGAGUCGGCCGAGGAAUCGAAGCGCGCGUCCCUCGGGACGGGGCCUGCGGGUCACCUGCGCGCUCGAGACGUUGCGUAG